UUACCGUUUUAUUUGCUUUUAUCAGCUGAUUAAGAGCUUCAUCCUAAUCCACUAACUGGUCUAGCCCUCAUUCAACUUACCGUUUUAUUUGCUUUUAUCAGCUGAUUAAGAGCUUCAUCCUAAUCCACUAAUUGGUCUAGCCCUCAUUCAACUUACCGUUUUAUUUGCUUUUAUCAGCUGAUUAAGAGCUUCAUCAUAAUCC
rnacentral:lncRNA from 1 species